rnacentral:sRNA from 1 species
AGCACCUUUAACUAAGUCCAGUGAGGCUUAGAAGGUCCAUUCCGCUGCGGCGGAUUAUUCAGGCUAUGGUCGCCUUCUAUCCCAAAUUGGAUUGAAGGCGACUUUUUU